GGUGGGGAGUGACGUCAAAUCAUCAUGCCCCUUAUGUUCUGGGCUACACACGUGCUACAAUGGCCGGUACAGACGGACGCAAAGCCGCGAGGUGGAAGCCAAAAUCCUAAAAAAGCCCGGUCUCAGUUCGGAUUGCAGGCUGCAAUUCGCCUGCAUGAAGUCGGAAUCGCUAGUAAUCGCAGGUCAGCAUACUGCGGUGAAUACGUUCCCGGGCCUU
rnacentral:rRNA from 1 species